rnacentral:rRNA from 1 species
UACGUAGGGUGCAAGCGUUAAUCGGAAUUACUGGGCGUAAAGCGUGCGCAGGCGGUUUUGUAAGUUUGUCGUGAAAUCCCCGGGCUUAACCUGGGAACUGCAUUUGUGACUGGCGGACUCGAGUAUGGCAGAGGGGGGUAGAAUUCCACGUGUAGCAGUGAAAUGCGUAGAGAUGUGGAGGAAUACCCGAUGGCGAAGGCAGCCCCCUGGGCCAAUACUGACGCUCAUGCAC